AUGGAAUACAGGGAGGGGUAAAUAAGACGGAAGUCACAGUGAGCUCACAGGCUGGUGGAAGAAACAGGAGGAUACAGGAAAUCACAACGAAGUACAACGUGUCCUCUGAUGUUAAGAGCACAGAACUGGAUCACAAAGCUUUCUGUCCUAGAGAAUGGUUGAAGGCUUUCAGAGGAAUUGGUAUGUGAGGUAAGGCUGAGCCAAUGAGAUCUUUCUUGGCCACUGGGGAUGUUAAGGUAGGAAGAAAAGUCAACAGAGUCCUGUUUUUCUAGGUAUCUGGUAGGACUUCAUCUUCCAUGUUUUAAGAGGAUUAUUUCUUUAGGGGCCAUUAUGUGUCUUGAGAUAGUUGCCUAUUUGUUGACAUCCCACUCUAUAUCAAACACUGUACUUGGCAAUUUUAUAUAGGUUAUUUUUAUUUCUUACAGCAACCAUGUGAACUUAAGACCAUUAUUCAAUUUGCAAAAAGGAACUGAGGGUCAGGAUACAUAAAUACUUCACCCCAAUGGAUACACCCCAAUGGAUACACAUAUUUCCUCUCCAGGGCCCAGAAAGCAUUCAGGAGUGGAGAACUUGCAAGCAAACAAGUGCUGCCUGCUGGAGCAGAGCUGAGCUUGGAUUCCUCUCGCUCUCAUGUCCGGGCAGCUGAUGGCAAGUGAGCCUCUCAUCUGCGGAGCUCAAAUGGGCACCUGCUUAUCUGCAGAUCCGUGUAUAAAACAACUUUUGUUUGAAUGUGACAUCUGCCUGCAAAGGAGCAAAUCCCCAGCACCACCAGUGCAUCGUGUCAGGCCAAAAUCCAGAGAGGCUCUAAUGGGUUUUUCUUCAAACACUGUGACUCGAGCUCCAGACCAUCCCCUUGCUUGCUCCAGGAAACAUUAUCAACCUAUGGCUCAGGGUUAAGGGUUGGGGUUGGGGUAUCAUUAGUGUUUUCAUCACUAGCUGAAAUGUACAGUCUGACAAUCACCAUGCCCACAGAUCAAAGGCAAGGGGAGGUGCUAUCUGCUGCCAGCUGUGCUGUGACUCUGAGAACAUUUCUGGUGAACUGACCCUAAGGUGAGUUGUGGUGGGAAACAGUCUCCAACGGAUGACUGGGUGUGGGCUCAUGUAGGAUAGGGUUCUAAGAGCGAAUUC
rnacentral:lncRNA from 1 species